AAAUUAAUCAGCUUGAUGGAAGUAAGAAUAAACAAAACUUUACAGCCAUUCAAAAUCAAGAUGGGCAUCAACUUUACACAUACUUCAUGGAGAAGAAGCCUGUACCAUGUGGAGAGAAUGGAGAACAUGAUGUCUCAUCUUCGAAGAGUAUAUGCAAGUGAGGAUUAUUCCAUCACAUCCUGACGUGCGGAUUACCAAAAGCUGUGAGGAGCCAGAUGGAAAGCCACAGAGCACAGAGUUUGGCCGUUUUUGUAACCAUCGACACUUCUGAUGAAUGAUGAAUACAGCAAAUUGAUGUGAAAUAUGUCUAGAGGAGAGCAGUUCACCUGUGUACCUACUGGGAGAGCUCCUGGUGAGUUGGACUGAAGCCUUGUAUCAGACCGGACAGCCCUGGGUGAGUUGCGUCAAUU